UACAGGGGGGGCAAGCGUUGUUCGGAAUUACUGGGCGUAAAGGGCUCGUAGGCGGCCGGCUAAGUCAGACGUGAAAUCCCUCAGCUUAACUGGGGAACUGCGUCUGAUACUGGUUGGCUUGAGUGCAGGAGAGGAACGCGGAAUUCCAGGUGUAGCGGUGAAAUGCGUAGAUAUCUGGAGGAACACCGGUGGCGAAGGCGGCGUUCUGGACUGCAACUGACACUGAGGAACGAAAGCCAGGGUAGCAAACGGG
rnacentral:rRNA from 1 species